GUAAGGGCUCGCAGGCGGUUUCUUAAGUCUGAUGUGAAAGCCCCCGGCUCAACCGGGGAGGGUCAUUGGAAACUGGGAAACUUGAGUGCAGAAGAGGAGAGUGGAAUUCCACGUGUAGCGGUGAAAUGCGUAGAGAUGUGGAGGAACACCAGUGGCGAAGGCGACUCUCUGGUCUGUAACUGACGCUGAGGAGCGAAAGCGUGGGGAGCGAACAGGAUUAGAUACCC
rnacentral:rRNA from 1 species